UGCCGAACCUGCCGGGCUUCGUGCAUACGGCGUUUCCGGCGUCGUUUCCGAACGUGCCGGCGUUCUUCAACAC
rnacentral:tRNA from 1 species